rnacentral:tRNA from 1 species
AAGGUAUUAGUAAAAAUAUUACCCUGUCUUGUCAAGACAAAAUUGUAGGUUAAACUCCUGCAUACCUUA